AAUGCUUCCAGUGCCCGAGAAGGGGAAACACUUUUGGUUCAUUGUGUCAUUGAUUGGCAGUUUCCUGCUACACGAGUUGUCUUCUGCAAGAAUGGGCUGGAGGAGUUCAGCCUGAAAGCCCAGCAGGGCAGGCUCAUCUACGCUCUGGUCCUGAACAUCACCUCCAGAAGUGCUGGGACGUACACGUGUGGGUACCAGCAAAAGAACAAGGAAAACAACGUGAAGAACUCUGCUCUCAGUGCUCCCCGGACCUUGUCUGUGGCAGCCGUAUAUCCCCGGAUCCUGCACACCCUCCCCACAGGCACGGUGCUGGCAGUGGCGGCCAUCGGCCUCGUCCUCCUGGGUGCAGGCAGCUGGUUUGCCAUCAGGAAAGGUGAGGGAGUAGGGGAAGGAGGGAGAAAGGCUGAGGCCGCGGGGGUCCUGCUGCGGGGCUGGUGCAGUGGGAAAGGUGGUGGGGGGAACCUGGGGGUGCACAGCUGGGGCAGACGGUGCCUGGGAGUGAUGGCUGUGGGCAGCCCAUCUGGAGAGGCUGCUGAGGGAGCUGGGGAGCUUCAGCCUUCAUCCCCCAGCCCAGAGAUGGGAGCCAGGGCUGGGCAGCACCUUGGCCUGUGCACCUCAGCCCCUGUUCUUCUUGCAGGUGCCUGCAGAGGGAGAUGCCCAAGGUGAGCACCAAGGGCUGCUGGCUGUGGGGUAUGCGGGAGGGAGUUGGGGGAAUGAAAGGUCCCUGGGGUGCUCCUUGUUCAGGGGCAUCUCCUGUGCAGAAGUCAGGAAGGAUGGGGCUUGUCUUUGGCUGCCCUCCAGUUCAAUGACAAAUGCAGGAAAGCAACUCCAAAGGGCAUAAGCCUCUAGAUCCCUCCUCAGCACAUGCACAUCCCAGAACCAUUCCAUUCCUCUCCAGGCAGCAGCACGUUGACAGCCCACAGACGGAAGACACCAACUAUGGUGACAUCCAGUGUGAGUACUACCUCCUCCCUUGGGGGAAGCCACAUGCUCCUCUCCCCAUGAGAAUCUUCUGCAAG
rnacentral:lncRNA from 1 species